AGAGUGAGGGAGGGCACUCCUUCAAACCAGUACCUGGAAGGCUCAUCUAAGGUCUUCUAGGCCUAGCAUUCUAACAUCAAAUGAUCAUCUGAUGAUCAUUUAAGGUUGUUGAAAAAUUCUGGUUGUGAACUUCUUUGUCUUUUUAGUUCUUCAUGAUCAUGCAGGAAACUCCCCAACUUUUAAAUCAUUUGAAGAAAAGGUCGAAAACUUAAAGUCUAAAGUAGGGGGAACCAAGCCUGCUGGUGGUGAUUUUGGAGAAGUCUUGAAUUCGGCUGCAAAUGCUAGUGCCACCACCACGGAGCCUCUUCCAGAAAAGACACAGGAGAGCCUGUGAGAUUCCUACCUUUGUUCUGCUACCCACUGCCAGAUGCUGCAAGCGAGGUCCAAGCACAUCUUGUCAACAUGCAUUGCCAUGAAUUUCUACCAGAUGUGCUUUUAUUUAGCUUUACAUAUUCCUUUGACCAAAUAGUUUGUGGGUUAAACAAAAUGAAAAUAUCUUCACCUCUAUUCUUGGGAAACACCCUUUAGUGUACAUUUAUGUUCCUUUAUUUAGGAAACACCAUUAUAAAAACACUUAUAGUAAAUGGGGACAUUCACUAUAAUGAUCUAAGAAGCUACAGAUUGUCAUAGUUGUUUUCCUGCUUUACAAAAUUGCUCCAGAUCUGGAAUGCCAGUUUGACCUUUGUCUUCUAUAAUAUUUCCUUUUUUUCCCCUCUUUGAAUCUCUGUAUAUUUGAUUCUUAACUAAAAUUGUUCUCUUAAAUAUUCUGAAUC
rnacentral:lncRNA from 1 species